rnacentral:tRNA from 1 species
AAGACACUAGUAAAAAUGAAUAUUACAUUGCUUUGUCAAGGCAAAAUUGCGGGUUAAAUCCCCGCGUGUUUUA